rnacentral:lncRNA from 1 species
AUGAAAGGGAUGGAGUCUGCAGAAAAUCUACAAAAGAAAACUUCUAGUCCCGUUUUUGAAGGGGGUAUCACUGGAAUGAUAAAUGAGUCUGAAGAAUCUAUCAUGUCCGAUUUAGACUCAGAAAAAAUAAGUUCAACAGCUGUCCAUGAAGGACCUCAGAAAUUAUCCAGCCUUCAAGAGACCACUGAGUCAAUGAGGAAAACAGUGAGCCCUUCAGCUGAAGUAGAUGCUGCCUUGAAAACUGCUUCCUCCGUCUCUACAGUAGAAAAAUUGAAUAGUGAAACUCUUGAAUCUCACGCGUAUCCACCUGGCACUGUUGAAGAGCAAAAAGAAGAACAUGACAAAACAACAAUGGCAUCAGAUGAAAUUGCGAGUCAAGUGCAAAAAACUAAAUGCAGCGCUGCUGAAUCAUCGAUUAACGAUGAAUUAAGAAGUUCACAAUCUUUGGAAGAUGAUAAAGAAGCAUCUUUGAAAUUGCAUAGUAGGGGGGAAGAGUCCAUUACUUUAAGUAAAGAGGAGUCAACUGUUUCAACGACGACAAUAUCCGAAAAAUCUGAGAGUGUAGGAGUUUCUCUUUGCUCCAAGGUAUCGGGUCUGCAUUCUUCAUCAGAUGAAUCAGAGCAGCCAGUGGAGAAAGGAUUUGAUCUUCACAGCUCAACACAGUCGACGUGUGGAAGUUCACGGACGACUGGGUCAACUCCACCAGUUGAAGAGAUCACAGAAGGCUUAAGUCACAUUACCGCAAAAGAUGAAGUGGAGUCAAACUCUACCACAUCCAGUUUCACCUCAUUCAUAAAAUCUGGCUUUGAAACAGUAGUUGGAGUUCUGCAUGACGCAACAAAAACUGCAAGCUCAGCCAAAAGCCUCGAUGAGGAUAGUUCUAAAAACAAAAAAGAUGAAAAGUUAGACUUGAAAUCAGAAGAUUUUACUGCUUGCUCAAAGGAUCUUACGUCCUCUUGCGAUGCCUCUAUAGUUUUAGAAGAGACGAAAGAGGAAAGGUCAGUCUUAAUAGAGAGUGAAGGCACUAGAUUAUCCAGCUCCUUCCAAGCUAAUGUGAUAAGUGACUCAGCAGAUUUAUCCCAUGGAGGGAUUGAAGAAUCUGUAGAAACCAUUUGUGAUAAUAAAUUAGCAAGUCCUAGUUCAAAGUCUUUCAGUCCUCAAUCUGUACAUACAUCCCCAACAUCGCUUGAAAGCUCCGAAAAAAUUAUAUCCACAUUAAGUUCUCAGUCUCAAAUUUUAGGUUCUACUUCUGAAUCAAAACAUGACGAGUCCUCUCAUUCUAUAUCUGAACAAAUACAAAUAGACAGCCAUAUAGAGCUUGUAACUAAAAAGCAAUCAACUGGGGGUAGUCCAACCUCCGAUAGAAGCUCAAAAUCAUCCAGUCCCCUCCCUCCCUCCGAUUUAAGUUCUAAACACUCUAGUCCAAUACCGCCAAAUGAUCAGAGCCCAAAGUCUGAUCAAUCAUUUAAAGAUACUGAUAAGUCUCUGAACUCAUUACCAACAGACAGAACAGCCGAAAUGACCCCUCGAUUAUCGAUAACUGACUCAAAAUUAGACACCAGCUCGAUUCCUGCGUAUAGCCGAAGUUCAGCACUGUCUACUUCAGCACCGUCUCCUGAUGAGAGCCUAACAUCAGUCAGCCCCAUAUCAGGCACAGACAAGAGCUCAAAGCCCAUCAGUCCAUUAUUAUCAACAGACGAAACAACAAAAUCAACUGUUCAUGAAGAAACUAGUUUGAAAUUAUUACAGGAGUCUGUGAAACAAGCUCAUAAAUUUAGCGGCUCAGAUUUGUCAGAGAAAGAAGCCGAGUCAUUUAGUGCUUCUGUAACAGUUGGUGAGAGAGAUCUUCAAUGCAGUAUCACCAAAACAGAUGAGUGUCAUGAAUCAGCUAAAUUUUUGUCUCAAACUGAGGAUAAAUCCAAGGACGCUGUAGCUGAGAAAACUACUAUGGUAAGUGAAGAAAGUGAGCGAUUUCCAACUGACAUGACACAGUCCUUCUAUUCCUAUUCUUCUCAUGAAGAUGAUGAAAAACUCUCGCUGCAAAAACUCUGA